rnacentral:tRNA from 1 species
GGAGAGUUCACCUAGAGGCCUAUGGUACUCGCUUGGAAAGCGAGCGGGUGAAAGCCCACGAGAGUUCGAAUCUCUCACUCUCCG